AACGAACGCUGGCGGCAGGCCUAACACACGCAAGUCGAGCGCCCUGCAAGGGGAGCGGCGGACGGGUGAGUAACGCGUGGGAAUUUUUCCUGGAGUACGGAACAACCGAGGGAAACUUCGGCUAAUACCGUAUGAUGCCGAGAGGCCAAAGAUUUAUCGCUCUGGGGUGAGCCCGCGUCAGAUUAGGUAGUUGGUGGGGUAAAGGCCUACCAAGCCUGCGAUCUGUAGCUGGUCUGAGAGGACGAUCAGCCACACUGGGACUGAGACACGGUCCAGACUCCUACGGGAGGCAGCAGUAAGGAAUAUUGCUCAAUGGGGGAAACCCUGAAGCAGCAACGCCGCGUGAAGGAUGAAAUACUUUUGUAUGUAAACCUCUGUAAGAUGGGAAAAUAUUCUCC
rnacentral:rRNA from 1 species